rnacentral:tRNA from 1 species
AGUAAGUUGGCAGAUUAGUGCCACAGAUUUAGGAUCCGUUCAAGGGCUUACCCACUUACUA